rnacentral:rRNA from 1 species
AUUGAACGCUGGCGGCAGGCCUAACACAUGCAAGUCGAACGAGUGGCGGACGGGUGAGUAAUGUCUGGGAAACUGCCUGAGGGAGGGGGAUAACUACUGGAAACGGUAGCUAAUACCGCAUACCAUCGGAUGUGCCCAGAUGGGAUUAGCUGGUAGGUGGGGUAAAGGCUCACCUAGGCGACGAUCCCUCGCUGGUCUGAGAGGAUGACCAGCCACACUGGAACUGAGACACGGCCCAGACUCCUACGUGAGGCAGCAGUGGGGAAUAUUGGACAAUGGGCGAAAGCCUGAUGCAGCCAUGCCGCGUGUAUGAAGAAGGCCUUCGGGUUGUAAAGUACUUUCAGCGGGGAGGCGGUACCCGCAGAAGAAGCACCGGCUAACUACGUGCCAGCAGCCGCGGUAAUUC